UGCCCUAAACUACUUGACCCUGAACUCCAGAAUCCCACCGUUCAGCUAAGUCCUCCCACGACUCCCUCCCGGCCUGUUUCUAUUGGCCAGUCUACUGCUCCAGUGUUUCCUGAUGUCACCCAAACUGAACAUCACAGCAACCUGGAAGCAGAGGAAGAAAAAUAAUACCAAGUGUCCAAGGCAAGAUCCGUCUCCCAGCUGACAUCAGAGUCACACACUUCCUUCAGCUGGGCCCACCUCCUUCCUUCACCACCUCCUGCUAGCAGUAGCAAGCUGUCCUAGUGAAUGGUGUCCAUCCUUUGUACCUCACACUGGAGGUGGCCUCUUCCUGAAAGUCUCCAUGAGACCUCGCUUUCACCAAAGUGACACAACACAGGACCCUGUGCACCCCUCGCUUGUCCUCACCUCCGCCUAGACAGUGACUUAUUAAUGGAUCAAUGAAUGUAUACCUCUGAUGGAUGUGCUCUAACCGCUGUUUAUGUAAUAAACACAAGUGGA